CAGUAGCCGCGGGAAUACGUAGGUGGCAAGCGUUGUCCGGAAUUAUUGGGCGUAAAGGGCUCGCAGGCGGUUUCUUAAGUCUGAUGUGAAAGCCCCCGGCUCAACCGGGGAGGGUCAUUGGAUACUGGGAAACUCGAGUGCAGAAGAGGAGAGUGGAAUUCCACGUGUAGCGAUGAAAUGCGUAGAGAUGUGAAAGAACACCAGUGGCGAAGGCGACUCUCUGGUCUGUAACUGACGCUGAGGAGCGAAAGCGUGGGGAGCGAACAGGAUUAGAGACCCCAGUAGUCCCUGUCUCUUAUAC
rnacentral:rRNA from 1 species